GGGGAUUUAGCUCAGUGGCAUAAGCGCCUGCCUGGCAAGCAUGAGGUUGUAAGUUCAAUCCCUG
rnacentral:tRNA from 1 species